AUGCAAGUCGACGGUAGCACAGAGAGCUUGCUCUCGGGUGACGAGUGGCGGACGGGUGAGUAAUGUCUGGGAAACUGCCUGAUGGAGGGGGAUAACUACUGGAAACGGUAGCUAAUACCGCAUAACGUCGCAAGACCAAAGAGGGGGACCUUCGGGCCUCUUGCCAUCAGAUGUGCCCAGAUGGGAUUAGCUAGUAGGUGGGGUAACGGCUCACCUAGGCGACGAUCCCUAGCUGGUCUGAGAGGAUGACCAGCCACACUGGAACUGAGACACGGUCCAGACUCCUACGGGAGGCAGCAGUGGGGAAUAUUGCACAAUGGGCGCAAGCCUGAUGCAGCCAUGCCGCGUGUAUGAAGAAGGCCUUCGGGUUGUAAAGUACUUUCAGCGGGGAGGAAGGUGUUGUGGUUAAUAACCGCAGCAAUUGACGUUACCCGCAGAAGAAGCACCGGCUAACUCCGUGCCAGCAGCCGCGGUAAUACGGAGGGUGCAAGCGUUAAUCGGAAUUACUGGGCGUAAAGCGCACGCAGGCGGUCUGUCAAGUCGGAUGUGAAAUCCCCGGGCUCAACCUGGGAACUGCAUUCGAAACUGGCAGGCUAGAGUCUUGUAGAGGGGGGUAGAAUUCCAGGUGUAGCGGUGAAAUGCGUAGAGAUCUGGAGGAAUACCGGUGGCGAAGGCGGCCCCCUGGACAAGACUGACGCUCGGUGCGAAGCGU
rnacentral:rRNA from 1 species